rnacentral:lncRNA from 1 species
AGAACAGAACUCAUCUCCUGUGACUGCCGGUGGCUGCUUCAUUUGCUACCACAGGAGUCAACUGAACUUCUGUUGAAGGUUAUCUCCGUUGUGAGGAUACGUAACAUAAUUCUUCGGCACUUUGCACCUUAAAUCCAUGGACCACGUGGAGUGACAUCCUUUCAAAAUAUCAUGUGAAUAUCUGCUUCACAGCCUUUGAGCUAAUUAUUUCUGGGAGAUAUUUCUGCAUCUGGAGAAGGAGUCAGUUAUUAUAAUUGAGUGCACCGCAAAACAAAAGUUGUGCUGUAAGUACAUCAAGGGCAGGGGAUCACAUCUUCUCGGUGUUUUAUCAACUUCCAUAAAUCACUUCGGGCCCGUGGCUUC